rnacentral:rRNA from 2 species
UUUAAUUUGAGAGUUCGAUCCUGGCUCAGGAUGAACGCUGGCGGCGUGCUUAACACAUGCAAGUCGAGCGAAGCGAUUCAAAUGAAGUUUUCGGAUGGAUUUUGAAUUGACUUAGCGGCGGACGGGUGAGUAACGCGUGGGUAACCUGCCUCAUACAGGGGGAUAACAGUUGGAAACGGCUGCUAAUACCGCAUAAGCACACAGUGCCGCAUGGUACGGUGUGAAAAACUCCGGUGGUAUGAGAUGGACCCGCGUCUGAUUAGGUAGUUGGUGAGGUAACGGCCCACCAAGCCGACGAUCAGUAGCCGACCUGAGAGGGUGACCGGCCACAUUGGGACUGAGACACGGCCCAAACUCCUACGGGAGGCAGCAGUGGGGAAUAUUGGACAAUGGGGGAAACCCUGAUCCAGCGACGCCGCGUGAGUGAAGAAGUAUUUCGGUAUGUAAAGCUC